rnacentral:rRNA from 1 species
AGAGUUUGAUCCUGGCUCAGAACAAACGCUGGCGGCGUGUCUUAAGCAUGCAAGUUGAGCGGCAAGGAGGAGAGAUCCUCCCUAGAGCGGCGGACUGGUGAGUAACGCGUGGGUAAUCUAUCUUAGGCAUGGGGAUAGUCACUAGAAAUAGUGGGUAAUACCGAAUAAGUUCCAUAAGGGGAGGACUUAUGGAAGAAAGGUGCUACGGCACUGGCCUUAGGUGAGCUCGCGUCCCAUUAGCUAGUUGGUGAGGUAAAGGCCCACCAAGGCGAUGAUGGGUAGCCGGCCUGAGAGGGUGUACGGCCACACUGGGACUGAGAUACGGCCCAGACUCCUACGGGAGGCAGCAGCUAAGAAUAUUCCGCAAUGGACGAAAGUCUGACGGAGCGACGCCGCGUGGAUGAAGAAGGCCGAAAGGUUGUAAAGUUCUUUUGCUAGGGGAGAAUAAGUGUGGGAGGGAAUGCCUGCACGAUGACAAGGACUAGCGAAUAAGUCCCGGCCAACUACGUGCCAGCAGCCGCGGUAACACGUAGGGGGCGAGCGUUGUUCGGAAUUACUGGGCGUAAAGGGCAUGUAGGCGGCUUGGUAAGCCUGGCGUGAAAGUCUGCAGCUUAACUGUAGGGAUGCGUUGGGAACUGCUUAGCUUGAGUUACGGAGAGGGAGCUGGAAUUCCUGGUGUAGGGGUGAAAUCUGUAGAUAUCAGGAAGAACACCGAUGGCGAAGGCAAGCUUCUGGCCGACAACUGACGCUGAGGUGCGAAAGUGUGGGGAUCAAACAGGAUUAGAUACCCUGGUAGUCCACACUGUAAACGAUGUGCACGAGGUGCUGGGGCGGUAGUUUCAGUGCCGGAGCGAACGCGGUAAGUGCACCGCCUGGGGAGUAUGCUCGCAAGGGUGAAACUCAAAGGAAUUGACGGGGGCCCGCACAAGCGGUGGAGCAUG